AGUGAACGCUGGCGGUAGGCCUAACACAUGCAAGUCGAACGGCAGCACAGUAAGAGCUUGCUCUUACGGGUGGCGAGUGGCGGACGGGUGAGGAAUACAUCGGAAUCUACUUUUUCGUGGGGGAUAACGUAGGGAAACUUACGCUAAUACCGCAUACGACCUACGGGUGAAAGCAGGGGAUCUUCGGACCUUGCGCGAUUGAAUGAGCCGAUGUCGGAUUAGCUAGUUGGCGGGGUAAAGGCCCACCAAGGCGACGAUCCGUAGCUGGUCUGAGAGGAUGAUCCGCCACACUGGAGCUGAGACACGGUCCAGACUCCUACGGGAGGCAGCAGUGGGGAAUAUUGGACAAUGGGCGCAAGCCUGAUCCAGCCAUACCGCGUGGGUGAAGAAGGCCUUCGGGUUGUAAAGCCCUUUUGUUGGGAAAGAAAAGCAGCAGGUUAAUACCCCGCUGUUCUGACGGUACCCAAAGAAUAAGCACCGGCUAACUUCGU
rnacentral:rRNA from 1 species